rnacentral:rRNA from 1 species
UGAGCAAUCUGCCCUUCUCAUCGGAAUAAGCGUUGGAAACGACGUCUAAUGCCGAAUACGACCUCCUUUCGCAUGAUCGGAGGUGGAAAGCUCCGGCGGAGAAGGAUGAGCUCGCGGCCUAUCAGCUAGUUGGUGUGGGUAAUGGCCCACCAAGGCGACGACGGGUAGCUGGUCUGAGAGGAUGGCCAGCCACAUCGGGACUGAGACACGGCCCAGAUCCGUACGGG